AUUGAACGCUGGCGGCAUGCCUUACACAUGCAAGUCGAACGGUAACGCGGGGGCAACCCUGGCGACGAGUGGCGAACGGGUGAGUAAUACAUCGGAACGUACCCAGUAGUGGGGGAUAGCUCGGCGAAAGCCGGAUUAAUACCGCAUACGACCUAUGGGUGAAAGCGGGGGAUCGCAAGACCUCGCGCUAUUGGAGCGGCCGAUGUCGGAUUAGCUAGUUGGUGAGGUAAAGGCUCACCAAGGCUACGAUCCGUAGCUGGUCUGAGAGGACGACCAGCCACACUGGGACUGAGACACGGCCCAGACUACUACGGGAGGCAGCAGUGGGGAAUUUUGGACAAUGGGCGCAAGCCUGAUCCAGCCAUGCCGCGUGUGUGAAGAAGGCCUUUUGGGGUUGU
rnacentral:rRNA from 1 species